UACGUAGGGUGCAAGCGUUGUCCGGAAUUAUUGGGCGUAAAGAGCUCGUAGGCGGUUUGUUGCGUCGGCUGUGAAAUCCCGAGGCUCAACCUCGGGUCUGCAGUCGAUACGAGCAAACUAGAGUGUUGCAGGGGAGACUGGAAUUCCUGGUGUAGCGGUGAAAUGCGCAGAUAUCAGGAGGAACACCGGUGGCGAAGGCGGGUCUCUGGGCAACAACUGACGCUGAGGAGCGAAAGCGUGGGGAGCGAACAGGA
rnacentral:rRNA from 1 species